AUACGGAGGGUGCAAGCGUUACUCGGAAUCACUGGGCGUAAAGCGCGCGCAGGCGGCUAUUUAAGUUGGAUGUGAAAGCCUACGGCUCAACCGUAGAACUGCAUCCAAAACUAUUUAGCUAGAGUGUUGGAGAGGAAGAUGGAAUUAGUUGUGUAGGGGUAAAAUCCGUAGAGAUAACUAGGAAUACCAAAAGCGAAGGCAAUCUUCUGGAACACUACUGACGCUGAGGCGCGAAAGCGUGGGGAGCAAACGGGAUUAGAAACCCUAGUAGUCC
rnacentral:rRNA from 1 species